GAGACUGUCUAGCUCUCCCAUCUCUGAAUCACCUAGUCGAUUCAAGAGGGCAGAGAUGUUUUAUAGUUAACUCCACAGACAGAAAAUGAGUGGCCUGUGAAGUGGAGAAUAUACUAGUUGAAGUUGAUAGCCCAGGAAAGCUUAAGCACAGAAGAUAAGGAUUUGCAUUGGGUUUCCUCAGAAAGUAAGCCAAGCACAGGACAAGAUGAGAGAGCACUCAAACGCUGGAGCAGAUGCCCCUGCAACAACUCUGCUUGAAGAACAAACGAUAAAGUUGAAACUCACUGACUCCUGUGUAAACCUUCAUCCAUACACCCAUCUUAUUUGAUCCAAGUUUAUAAGGAAAAUAGUACGAGAGCACAUGGACUCGACCUCCAGUAUCAGCUGUUUCCUGAGAGGCACUGACGGAAUCUCCAAUAUUCAACACUGCAAGGAACACGAUGUGAAUAAGGGAGCAAGGAAACUAUGAACACGAAGGCAUGGGGAGAACAGAUGGCUAAAGUGACGAACUACUACUGUCAAGUCUUUCCCUCAAUUCCAGACUUAAGAAAACAGAUGUUAGGGCCAGCAGAUGGUGUAGCGGUUACGUUGCUGGAC